rnacentral:tRNA from 1 species
UCCCUGGUGGUCCAGUGGCUAAGACUCCAUGCUCCCAAUGCAGGGGGCCUGGGUUCGAUCCCUGGUCAGGGAA